CCUACGGGAGGCAGCAGUGGGGAAUAUUGCACAAUGGGGGGAACCCUGAUGCAGCAACGCCGCGUGGGUGAAGAAGUACUCCGGGAUGUAAAGCCCUGUCAGCAGGGAAGAAAAUGAAGGUACCUGACCAAGAAGCCCCGGAUAACUACGUGCCAGCAGCCGCGGUAAUACGUAGGGGGCAAGCGUUAUCCGGAUUUACGGGGUGUAAAGGGAGCGUAGACGGCAAGGCAAGUCUGGAGUGAAAGCCCGGGGCCCAACCACGGGACUGCGGUGGAAACUGUGUUGCUGGAGUGCAGGAGGGGUAAGCGGAAUUCCUAGUGUAGCGGUGAAAUGCGUAGAUAUUAGGAGGAACACCGGUGGCGAAGGCGGCUUACUGGACUGUAACUGACGUUGAGGCUCGAAGGCGUGGGGAGCAAACAGGAUUAGAUACCCCAGUAGUC
rnacentral:rRNA from 1 species